rnacentral:rRNA from 1 species
UACGUAGGGGGCUAGCGUUGUCCGGAAUCAUUGGGCGUAAAGCGCGUGUAGGCGGUCCGGUAAGUCCGCUGUGAAAGUCGGGGGCUCAACCCUCGAAUGCCGGUGGAUACUGUCGGGCUAGAGUACGGAAGAGGCGAGUGGAAUUCCUGGUGUAGCGGUGAAAUGCGCAGAUAUCAGGAGGAACACCAAUUGCGAAGGCAGCUCGCUGGGACGUUACUGACGCUGAGGCGCGAAAGCGUGGGGAGCAAACAGG